AUUGAACGCUGGCGGCAGGCUUAACACAUGCAAGUCGAGCGAGCGGCGGACGGGUGAGUAAUGUCUGGGAAACGGCCUGAUGGAGGGGGAUAACUACUGGAAACGGUAGCUAAUACCGCAUACCAUCAGAUGUGCCCAGAUGGGAUUAGAUAGUAGGUGGGGAAAUGGCUCACCUAGGCGACGAUCGCUAGCUGGUCUGAGAGGAUGACCAGCGCGACUGGAACUGAUACACGGUCCAGACUCCUACGGGGGGCAGCAGUGGGGAAUAGUGCACAAGUGGCGCAAGCCUGAUGCAGCCAUGCCGCGGGUGUGAAGAAGGCCUUCGGGUUGUAAAGCACUUUCAGCGAUGAGGCGUUACUCGCAGAAGAAGCACCGGCUAACUCCGUGCCAGCAGCCGCGGUAAUUC
rnacentral:rRNA from 1 species